rnacentral:pre_miRNA from 1 species
AAAGUACUCCCUCUGUCCCAAAAUUCGUGUCUUAGAUUUGUGUAGAUACGGAUGUAUCAAGUCACAUUUUAGUAUUAGAUACAUCUGUAUCUAGACAAAUCAAAGACAAGAAAUUUGGGACAGAGCGAGUAGUUG